rnacentral:rRNA from 1 species
AGUGAACGCUGGCGGUAGGCCUAACACAUGCAAGUCGAACGGCAGCACAGUAGAGCUUGCUCUCUGGGUGGCGAGUGGCGGACGGGUGAGGAAUACAUCGGAAUCUACUCUGUCGUGGGGGAUAACGGAGGGAAACUUACGCUAAUACCGCAUACGACCUACGGGUGAAAGCAGGGGACCUUCGGGCCUUGCGCGAUUGAAUGAGCCGAUGUCGGCUUAGCUAGUUGGCGGGCUAAAGGCCCACCAAGGCGACGAGCCGUAGCUGGUCUGAGAGGAUGAUCAGCCACACUGGAACUGAGACACGGUCCAGACUCCUACGGGAGGCAGCAGUGGGGAAUAUUGGACAAUGGGCGCAAGCCUGAUCCAGCCAGACCGCGUGGGUGAAGAAGGCCUUCGGGUUGUAAAGCCCUUUUGUUGGGAAAGAAAUCCAGCUGGCUAAUACCCGGUUGGGAUGACGGUACCCAAAGAAUAAGCACCGGCUAACUUCGUGCCAGCAGCCGCGGUAA